UUAAAUACUUUUAUAGUAUUUCUAUUAUGUAUUACAAAUAUGUAUGAAUUAUUGGACCGUGCGUAGCGCGGGUACAAUACUAGUGAUGAUGUAACAACUAACAUGAGUAGGAGAGUAUAAAUUAGGUUAUGACAGUGAAACUUAUUAAGAAGCUUCUUAAUUGGCAUUCAAGCAUUAAUCGGAAUGACUGGAAUAGAGAAGUGUGGAUCCACUAACAUCAAUUGGAGCCCGGUUCUCGUCCCCCGGCCCGGCCCGUUUAAUGCUUUAGCUUUUCUCCAUAGGUAUGAUAAGGCAGCACAAACUCUCUCCUUUUUCUCUUCAAACUUGCUCUUAUGUUUUUGUCCCCGGCCAGCUUGCUUUUCUCCAAUCUUGCACCUUUUCAAUCCCAUCUAGUGUGUGUGUGUGUGUGUGUGAAGCAAAGAUAUAUCGAUAUAUAAAUGUGAUGAUAAUUAACAAUGAAUAAGUUGUGUGUGUAGCUUACCUCAUAUAUAGGAUUAAUUUUCCAUGUUUUAGAAAUGCAAUUUAAUCACGGUUGGACGAGAGAAUGAAAGUCAAAAGAUGAGAUUGGAGCAAUGAGCUUGAUCUUUAAUUUUAAUUUAUGUUAAGAUAAGAUUGAGAAGGCUGUCUUUGAGAGUGUGAUUGUGUGGUUAUGAAGUCUACUCUUAUUUAGGGCUUUUAUAGAAGUUUGUGAUGUUGUACUAAUCAAGAACGUACGAGGGUGGUUGCUAUCAUUAAAAAGGUGGUCCUUUUUUU
rnacentral:lncRNA from 1 species